UACGGGGGGGGCAAGCGUUGUUCGGAAUUACUGGGCGUAAAGGGCUCGUAGGCGGCCAACUAAGUCAGACGUGAAAUCCCUCGGCUUAACCGGGGAACUGCGUCUGAUACUGGAUGGCUUGAGUUUGGGGAGAGGGAUGCGGAAUUCCAGGUGUAGCGGUGAAAUGCGUAGAUAAUCUGGAGGAACACCGGUGGCGAAGGCGGCAUCCUGGACCAA
rnacentral:rRNA from 1 species